GGGGGUAUAGCUCAGAUGGGAGAGCGCCUGCUUUGCACGCAGGAGGUCAUCGGUUCGAUUCCGAUUAUCUCCA
rnacentral:tRNA from 1 species